GAGGCCUAACACAUGCAAGUCUAACGAACUCUUCGGAGUUAGUGGCGGACGGGUGAGUAACACGUGGGAACGUGCCUUUAGGUUCGGAAUAACUCAGGGAAACUUGUGCUAAUACCGAAUGUGCCCUUCGGGGGAAAGAUUUAUCGCCUUUAGAGCGGCCCGCGUCUGAUUAGCUAGUUGGUGAGGUAAAGGCUCACCAAGGCGACGAUCAGUAGCUGGUCUGAGAGGAUGAUCAGCCACAUUGGGACUGAGACACGGCCCAAACUCCUACGGGAGGCAGCAGUGGGGAAUCUUGCGCAAUGGGCGAAAGCCUGACGCAGCCAUGCCGCGUGAAUGAUGAAGGUCUUAGGAUUGUAAAAUUCUUUCACCGGGGACGAUAAUGACGGUACCCGGAGAAGAAGCCCCGGCUAACUUCGUGCCAGCAGCCGCGGUAAUACGAAGGGGGCUAGCGUUGCUCGGAAUUACUGGGCGUAAAGGGAGCGUAGGCGGACAUUUAAGUCAGGGGUGAAAUCCCGGGGCUCAACCUCGGAAUUGCCUUUGAUACUGGGUGUCUUGAGUAUGAGAGAGGUGUGUGGAACUCCGAGUGUAGAGGUGAAAUUCGUAGAUAUUCGGAAGAACACCAGUGGCGAAGGCGACACACUGGCUCAUU
rnacentral:rRNA from 1 species